ensembl:Y_RNA Y_RNA Y RNA
GGCUGGUCCAAGUGCAGUGCUGUUUAGAACCAAUUGGUCACAACCAGUUACAGAUUUCUUUGUCCCUUCUCCACUUCCAUUGCUUCACUUGAUGAGCCUUAA